AUCUACCGCCAUACCAGCCUGAACGUGCCCAAUUUUGUCUGAUCUCUGAAGCUAAGCAGGGUCGGGCCUGGUUAGUACUUGGGUGGGAGAAA
rnacentral:rRNA from 1 species